rnacentral:rRNA from 1 species
AUUGAACGCUGGCGGCAUGCUUUACACAUGCAAGUCGAACGGUAACAGGCCGCAAGGUGCUGACGAGUGGCGAACGGGUGAGUAAUGCAUCGGAACGUGCCCAGUCGUGGGGGAUAACGCAGCGAAAGCUGCGCUAAUACCGCAUACGAUCUAUGGAUAAAAGCGGGGGACCGUAAGGCCUCGCGCGAUUGGAGCGGCCGGUGUCAGAUUAGGGAGUUGGUGGGGUAAAGGCUCACCAAGCCGACGAUCUGUAGCUGGUUUGAGAGGACGACCAGCCACACUGGGACUGAGACACGGCCCAGACUCCUACGGGAGGCAGCAGUGGGGAAUUUUGGACAAUGGGCGCAAGCCUGAUCCAGCAAUGCCGCGUGCAGGAUGAAGGCCUUCGGGUUGUAAACUGCUUUUGUACGGAGCGAAAAGGCUCUCUCUAAUACAGGGGGCUCAUGACGGUACCGUAAGAAUAAGCACCGGCUAACUACGUGCCAGCCGCCGCCGUAAUAC